rnacentral:rRNA from 1 species
UACGAAGGGGGCUAGCGUUGCUCGGAAUCGCUGGGCGUAAAGGGUGCGUAGGCGGGGCUUUAAGUCAGGGGUGAAAUCCUGGAGCUCAACUCCAGAACUGCCUUUGAUACUGAGGAUCUUGAGUUCGGGAGAGGUGAGUGGAACUGCGAGUGUAGAGGUGAAAUUCGUAGAUAUUCGCAAGAACACCAGUGGCGAAGGCGGCUCACUGGCCCGAUACUGACGCUGAGGCACGAAAGCGUGGGGAGCAAACAGG